GUGAAAUGCUCAUUGCAGUGAUGUGAAAAGGUGAGGUCACAGGACACAAACCCAUAUCUGAGACCUGGAUGCCUCCCUCCACGCACUCACCCACUGGCUGUCCUGAGCAUCACCCUGCACCUGUUGUCCCAGCAACAAGGGAAAAAUAAGGGUCUCAUUCUAUUGCUCAGGCUGGAGUGAAGUGGUGCAAUUGUAGCUCACUGCAGCCUUGAAUACCUCAGCUCAAACGAUCCUCCCACCUCAGCCUCCUGAGUAGCUGGGACCACAGCAUAGUGGUCAAGUCCAUUGUCAGCUUCUGACACUGCCUCUUACAAGGAGGUGACUUUGGAAAUGUCAUUCAGCCUUCCUGUGCCCGAAAUCACCUCACCUGUCAAAUGGGAACAAUAAAGCACUUCAAAGAAU
rnacentral:antisense_RNA from 1 species